AGAGUUUGAUCCUGGCUCAGAACGAACGCUGGCGGCAUGCCUAACACAUGCAAGUCGAACGCUCGGGAGGGUUUCGGCCCUCCUGGGAGUGGCGCACGGGUGAGUAGCGCGUGGGAACCUGCCCUGUUGUGGGGGAUAACCGAGGGAAACUUCGGCUAAUACCGCAUGCGCCCCCGGGCCUGGUCUUCGGAUUAGGUUUGGGGGGAAAGAUUUAUCGCAGCAGGAGGGGCCCGCGUCGGAUUAGCUAGUUGGUGGGGUAACGGCCCACCAAGGCGAUGAUCCGUAGCUGGUCUGAGAGGAUGAUCAGCCACACUGGGACUGAGACACGGCCCAGACUCCUACGGGAGGCAGCAGUGGGGAAUAUUGGACAAUGGGCGCAAGCCUGAUCCAGCAAUGCCGCGUGAGUGAUGAAGGCCUUCGGGUUGUAAAGCUCUUUCGCCCGCGACGAUGAUGACGGUAGCGGGAGAAGAAGCCCCGGCUAACUUCGUGCCAGCAGCCGCGGUAAUACGAAGGGGGCGAGCGUUGUUCGGAAUCACUGGGCGUAAAGGGCGCGUAGGCGGCGCUGGAAGUCAGGCGUGAAAGCCCCGGGCUCAACCUGGGAAUGGCGCUUGGGACUCUGGUGCUUGAGUUCGGGAGAGGAGAGUGGAAUUCCCAGUGUAGAGGUGAAAUUCGUAGAUAUUGGGAAGAACACCGGUGGCGAAGGCGGCUCUCUGGACCGAGACUGACGCUGAGGCGCGAAAGCGUGGGGAGCAAACAGGAUUAGAUACCUGGUAGUCCACGCCGUAAACGAUGUGUGCUAUACGUUGGGGAGCCUAGCUCUUUCGGUGUC
rnacentral:rRNA from 1 species